rnacentral:rRNA from 1 species
AACGAAGUGAAUUGAAAUAUCUUAGUAACUUUAGGAAAAGAAAUCAAACGAGAUUGUUAUUUGGUGCAAACUAAAUAACAAGAGCCUAUUAACAAAACUUGUUAAAGUAAAAUGGAUUAAAAUCUGUUUGAAUAUAGGGGAACCUUCCUCUAAGGCUAAAUAUGAUAUAUAAGCGAUAGUGAAAAGUACCGUGAGGUAAAAUUUGAAAUAGUAGUUUUAUAAGCAGCUCGAGUGAAAAUUUAAAUAAGUAAUAAGAGUGUACCUUUUGCAUAAUGGGUCAGCAAGUUAAUUUUAGAUGCAAGCAAUGAUUUCGUGCGCUUUGCGCAUGAAACUAGCUUAGAUAAACCAAUUAUGAGAAAAUGAAUAAGUAUCUAGAAUUAGACCCGAAGGCUAGUGAUCUUACCAUGGUCAGGGUUAUAAAAGCCCGAACGGGUUAUCGUUGUAUAGAUAUCCGAAGAAUUGUGGUAAGUUAGUGAAAGACAAAACUGACUAGUAUAGCUGGUUUUCCGCGAAACCUAUAUGAGUAGGUAAUUUAACUAACAUCUUAGCAGGUACAGAACUGUGAUCUCGGACAAUAUCUUUUGAUUUUGUCAACAUCGGGGGGUUGUAGUGACUUUACCGGAGAGUAUUUGCACUCGGAAUGGCAAAGAUGAAUGUUGAAUAAUCGGACAUAGUGCGAUAAGGUUGUAUGUCUAAAGGGAAACAGCCCAGAACAAGAGUUAAGGUUCCAAAAUUAUUGUUGAGUGAAAUUAAGGAUGUUUUUUUUAAAAACAAUCAGGAAAUAGGCUUAGAAGCGGCCAUUUUUUGAAGACCUCGUAACAGAGCACUGAUUAAUUAAAUUUAGAAAAAAACACCGAAAAUUUAACGGAUCUAAACAAUAUACCGAAACCUUGUACACAUAUUUAUAAUAUUAAUAUUGUAUAUGUGGGGUAGCGGAACAUUGGAUAAAUAUUAAUUAUUAUUUCUUCUAAGAAGUAAUAAGUAUGGAUUAUCAUUAAAAAUAUUUAUUUAUUAAAGAUAUUUAUGUAAUAUUAUUAUACCUAAAAGGUAUAAUGUUUAGAUGAAUAUAUAGAUAGAUUAUAUCUGUCUUUAUUAUUAAUAUAAUCCAUCGAUAUAAUCCAAGAGAGAAUGCUGACAUGAGUAACGAAAAAGGAAUAUCCUCGCCUUAAGCUUAUGGUAUUAUAUUUAAUUUUCGGUAUCUAAAAGUAUUAAUCAAAAGGUAAUUUUGAUGAUAUUUAUAUAUAAAUACUUAAAAAUAAAAAACAAAACCUUUAACAAGUAAUAAAGGUUCUGGAAAAUUUUUUAAAAGUGAAGUAUAGUACAAUAUAGAUAUACUAUAAUCUAUAUAAUUUUCUUGUUACAAGUUUUCAAGAUUGUAUAGAUUUUAUCUAUAUUUUUCUUUUUUAUACUAUUGUAUAAGUAAGGUUUAUAUAUACCGUACCUAGAUACUAUCACAAGUAAGCAAGUAGAGAAUACAAAGGCGUUUGAGUGAACAAUCAUUAAGGAACUCGGCAAAUUGACUACCGUAACUUCGGGAUAAGGAGGGCCAUUAUGAUUAGUUUAACAUAUCUUAUGAUAUGAUUUAAUUAAACUAAUCAUAAGAGGAAACAUGAAAUAAUGUUGUACGACUGUUUAAUAAAAACACAGCACUCUGCAAAGAUAAAAUAUCAAAGUAUUGAGUGUGAUGUCUGCCCAAUGUCGGCUGGGUAACGGAUUUACCUUGGUUUUUAACUGAGGUUUUGAAGGAUACCCCGAUUAAUGGCGGCCUUACCUAUGAGGGUCCUAAGGUAGCGAAAUACCUUGGCCGUUAAAUGCGGUCCUGCAUGAAUGACUUAACGAUACAACAGCUGUCUCGAUGAUUGUCUCAGUGAAAUUGGAAUAGCAGUGCAGAUACUGUUUACCUCUAGAUAGACGAGAAGACCCUAUGCAGCUUUACUGUUACUAAUUGCAAGAGUGGAAAUUUAGGAUGAUUUCGAGUGUAUAAGGUAGUUGUUUGAUAACAAUGAAACACCUUUAUUCGUUUCCUACUAUAUGCUCUUGAGGAUUGGGAGGCAGUUUAUGCGGGGCACAGAUCCCACAAAAAGUACCUGGGUAUAUCCAAAGUUCAUUUUGUAAAUUUGUAAAUUUCUUUACAAAUAUUUUAAUUUGUUAUAAUUAUAUUCAUAAUUAUACAGUUAUUGUUAGAUUAAGUUCAAUAUUUAUUUUUUAUUUAAGUAAGAUUUUAACUAUAUGGUGAAUAGAUGUAUUUUAAACUUUACCCGGGGAGGGAGUGAUCCAACUCCGGGAUAUUUAAAAGUUUUUUCUCAUAUUAAUAUUGUAUUUUAUCUUUAUUGAUAUGAUAAUUAAUUAUACUUUAAAAGUUUAAUGGCUAAAUCUUGCUUUACUGUUUGACCUACAAGUCUAUCAGUCGCGUAAGCGGGGCAUAUGAUCACAAGAUGCAUAAAGGAAAGGUCUUGGAUUAUAGAAAAAGUUACGCUAGGGAUAACAGGCUAAUUUGCGCAAGAGAGUACAAAUUGAGUGCGCGGUUUGGCACCUCGAUGUCGGCUUAGCUCAUCCACAUGAAUGCAAAAAUCAUGAAGGGUUCGACUGUUCGUCGAUUAAAGAGCUACAUGAGCUGGGUUUAAUACGUCGUGAGACAGUAUGGUUUCUAUCUUCUAGAGGGAAUUAAAGUAGAAUAAAGAUAGCCCCUUCGUACGAAAGGAGUUGGGUAUAUUGACCUAUGGUUUACCUGUUGUUUAUGUUAUAUAUUAUUAUACAUAAUAUAUCAUUUACUUAUACUUAAGUAAAUUGUUCACAUAGGCAUGGCAGGAAGGCUACGUCAGUUAAAGAUAAGUGCUGAAAGCAUUUAAGCGCGAAGCUUACUUUAGGAUACUUUUAAACGUAGUAGAACACUACGA